GCUGAGGCAGCUCCGCGGAGUGUGAUGAAUAGGUAUCCCGGAUGGAGGAGCCCAACUGAAUGAGGUGCCUGAGAGCACACGUGGCCUUUCCGCCCACCCCCCUCAGACCUGGUGUUUUUUAUAUCACCUUUAGUGGAAAGGAAAGCAUGUUGUUCUAACUCCACGGAACUCUGAGCUAUGUAAACAACAGGCAUGGAGCUUGGAACAAAAAUCACCUACAGGGCAGACAGAGUCACACUAGAAAUCCCUAAGAGGCAGAGGCUGAGGCUCCAACGUUCCGAGCUGCAGCACGAAAGAGCCCCAGGCCCAGCCUUCCCCCGGGACCCUGCAGCCUGCAGAUCUCACGGUCAGGGAAUUUUCCUGUGCAGUGUUCCAAGCCGGCAGAGCCUCCAGAACAAAGGGCCAGUGUCUUGUCAUAUUUACCUUGGCUACAUAACCCUGGUUUGUAUCUCCAGCGAGACAGCAGUUUUUUGAAGCAAGAACGAGUCUGGAGACAGAUGACCCAAGUCUGGAAGGAGUCCCAAGAAGAAGGAAAUGUAAAAUAAUGAAGUUACUGGCUUUUCACUCAAUCAGACUUCAGUUCCAUCACACACUUUAUAGUGUUUUUUGUAUGUGUGAAACCUUUAUAGUGUCUCUGUUUGUUAUACAAAUCAUUAAAACAUAUAAAGCAUUAACUGGCUCAUCUUAGGUAUUAAAUAAAUGGCAACU